rnacentral:rRNA from 1 species
UACGAAGGGUGCAAGCGUUGCUCGGAAUUAUUGGGCGUAAAGCGCACGUAGGCGGCUUGGCAAGUCGGAUGUGGAAUCCCUCGGCUCAACCAAGGAAGUGCAUCCGAAACUGCUGAGCUUGAGUACUUAAGAGGAUCGCGGAAUUCCCGGUGUAGAGGUGAAAUUCGUAGAUAUCGGGAGGAACACCAGUGGCGAAGGCGGCGAUCUGGGAAGAUACUGACGCUGAGGUGCGAAAGCGUGGGGAGCAAACAGG